rnacentral:rRNA from 1 species
GAUGAACGCUGGCGGCGUGCCUAAUACAUGCAAGUCGAGCGAACGGACGAGAAGCUUGCUUUUCUGAUGUUAGCGGCGGACGGGUGAGUAACACGUGGAUAACCUACCUUUAAGACUGGGAUAACUUCGGGAAACCGGAGCUAACACCGGAUAAUAUUUUAUACCGCAUGGUUCAACAGUGCAAGACGGUCUUGCUGUCACUUAUAGAUGGAUCCGCGCUGCAUUAGCUAGUUGGUAAGGUAACGGCUUACCAAGGCAACGAUGCAUAGCCGACCUGAGAGGGUGAUCGGCCACACUGGAACUGAGACACGGUCCAGACUCCUACGGGAGGCAGCAGUAGGGAAUCUUCCGCAAUGGACGAAAGCCUGACGGAGCAACGCCGCGUGAGUGAUGAAGGUCUUCGGAUCGUAAAACUCUGUUAUUAGGGAAGAACAUAUGUGUAAGUAACUGUGCACAUCUUGACGGUACCUAAUCAGAAAGCCACGGCUAACUACGUG